rnacentral:rRNA from 1 species
GAUGAACGCUGGCGGCGUGCUUAACACAUGCAAGUCGAACGGAAAGGCCUCUGCUUGCAGGGGUACUCGAGUGGCGAACGGGUGAGUAACACGUGGGUGAUCUGCCCUGCACUUCGGGAUAAGCCUGGGAAACUGGGUCUAAUACCGGAUAGGACAAUGGUUUGGAUGCUGUUGUGGAAAGUUUUUCGGUGUGGGAUGAGCUCGCGGCCUAUCAGCUUGUUGGUGGGGUAAUGGCCUACCAAGGCGUCGACGGGUAGCCGGCCUGAGAGGGUGUACGGCCACAUUGGGACGCAGAUACGGGCCAGACUCCGACGGGAGGCAGCAGUGGGGAAUAUUGCACAAUGGGCGCAAGCCUGAUGCAGGGAGGCCGCGUGGGGGAUGACGGCCUUCGGGUUGUAAGCUCCUAUCGCUAGGGAAGAAGCGUUUUUGUGACGGUACCUGGAGAAGAAGCACCGGCUAACUACGUG